rnacentral:rRNA from 1 species
CCUACGUGAGGCAGCAGUGGGGGAUAUUGGACAAUGGGGGGAACCCUGAUCCAGCGACGCCGCGUGAGUGAAGAAGUAUUUCGGUAUGUAAAGCUCUGUCAGCAGGGAAGAAAGAAAUGACGGUACCUGACCAAGAAGCCCCGGCUAACUACGUGCCAGCAGCCGCGGUAAUACGUAGGGGGCAAGCGUUAUCCGGAAUUACUGGGGGUAAAGGGAGCGUAGACGGUUAAGUAAGUCUGGAGUGAAAGGCCGGGGCCCACCCCCGGGACUGCUCUUGAAAUUAUUGAACUUGAGUGCAGGAGAGGUAAGCGGAAUUCCUAGUGUAGCGGUGAAAUGCGUAGAUAUUAGGAGGAACACCAGUGGCGAAGGCGGCUUACUGGACUGUAACUGACGUUGAGGCUCGAAAGCGUGGGGAGCAAACAGGAUUAGAUACCCUAGUAGUC